UGGUAGCAAGAUUUUGGUUACUCUAAUGG
rnacentral:piRNA from 1 species